rnacentral:rRNA from 1 species
AGAGUUUGAUCCUGGCUCAGAACGAACGCUGGCGGCGUGCCUAACACAUGCAAGUCGAACGAGAAGUACGUAGCAAUACGUAUUGUAAAGUGGCGCACGGGUGAGUAACACGUGGGUAAUCUGCCCUUGAGUUUGGGAUAACCCCGCGAAAGCGGGGCUAAUACCGAAUAAGACCACGGGGACCAAAGUCCCUGAGGUAAAAGGUGGCCUCUAUUUAUAAGCUACCACUUGAGGAUGAGCCCGCGGCCCAUUAGCUAGUUGGCAGGGUAACGGCCUACCAAGGCGAUGAUGGGUAGCUGGUCUGAGAGGACGAUCAGCCACACUGGAACUGAGACACGGUCCAGACUCCUACGGGAGGCAGCAGUGGGGAAUAUUGCGCAAUGGGCGAAAGCCUGACGCAGCAACGCCGCGUGGGGGAUGAAGGUUCUCGGAUUGUAAACCCCUUUCGAUCGGAACGAAUCCCCUCCUGGUAAAUAAUCAGGAGGAUCGACGGUACCGGGAGAAGAAGCCACGGCUAACUCUGUGCCAGCAGCCGCGGUAAGACAGAGGUGGCGAGCGUUGUUCGGAUUUAUUGGGCGUAAAGCGAACGCAGGUGGUUUGGUAAGUCAGGGGUGAAAGACCACAGCUUAACUGUGGCACUGCCUUUGAUACUGCCUUUCUAGAGUGCAUGAGGGGGAAGCGGAAUUCCGAGUGUAGAGGUGAAAUUCGUAGAUAUUCGGAGGAACACCGGUGGCGAAGGCGGCUUCCUGGCAUGUAACUGACACUCAUGUUCGAAAGCGUGGGUAGCAAACAGGAUUAGAUACCCUGGUAGUCC